ensembl:lncRNA
GAGCCACUCCUCUGCGCAGGCGGCGUUCCGUCCUCCAUCUGAAACACUCGCGGUCCCUGGAGCUGUUCCUGACCUGUGCCCUCGGGCCCACAUAGGGAGGAAACAUUCAUUUCUCUAGCUCAGAUGUCCCGUGCAAGCUACAGGGACCAGGGCUCUGCACACGACUGAUGAGGCUGCCGGAAACUUCCGUCUGAUUUCGAGUCUCCUACAGCAAGAGUACCCUAAAAUUUCCUGAUGGUCAUUACAGAAUGCUGCGUGCAGUGCCUGUGCCCUGUGCCCUCUUUGAUCAUCGAUUUUAUAUAUAGCUGCGUGUAUGUGUCCAUCCCAGCCUCCUGAUUCAUCCCUCCCGCCUUGUUUCUCCUUUGGAUAUCUAGCAGAGCUUCCAGUAUCCGUAAGGGGAAGCCUGUCUUGCGUAAAGGACGCCUUGUCACCAGUGAGUUUCAGUGGAUCGCCCGUCUCCACCCCAAGCCGGGCACGCUGGGUGCUUCCUCCUGGUUCUCUUCCCUGGGCUUCGUGUGUAAAAAUCGUUAUAGC